CCACACGACUCUCGGCAACGGAUAUCUCGGCUCUCGCAUCGAUGAAGAACGUAGCGAAAUGCGAUACCUGGUGUGAAUUGCAGAAUCCCGCGAACCAUCGAGUCUUUGAACGCAAGUUGCGCCCGAGGCCACUUGGCCGAGGGCACGCCUGCCUGGGCGUCACG
rnacentral:rRNA from 1 species